AUUGAACGCUGGCGGCAUGCUUUACACAUGCAAGUCGAACGGUAACAGGUCUUCGGAUGCUGACGAGUGGCGAACGGGUGAGUAAUGCAUCGGAACGUGCCCAGUCGUGGGGGAUAACGCAGCGAAAGCUGUGCUAAUACCGCAUACGAUCUAGGGAUGAAAGCGGGGGACCGUAAGGCCUCGCGCGAUUGGAGCGGCCGAUGUCAGAUUAGGUAGUUGGUGGGGUAAAGGCCCACCAAGCCAACGAUCUGUAGCUGGUCUGAGAGGACGACAAGCAACACUGGGACUGAGACACGGCCCAGACUCCUACGGGAGGCAGCAGUGGGGAAUUUUGGACAAUGGGCGCAAGCCUGAUCCAGCAAUGCCGCGUGCAGGAAGAAGGCCUUCGGGUUGUAAACUGCUUUUGUACGGAACGAAAAGGCUCUGGUUAAUACCUGGGGCACAUGACGGUACCGUAAGAAUAAGCACCGGCUAACUACGUGCCAGCAGCCGCGGUAAGAC
rnacentral:rRNA from 1 species